UACGAAGGGGGCUAGCGUUGCUCGGAAUCACUGGGCGUAAAGCGCACGUAGGCGGAUUGCUAAGUCAGGGGUGAAAUCCUGGAGCUCAACUCCAGAACUGCCUUUGAUACUGGCAACCUUGAGUUCGGAAGAGGUUGGUGGAACUGCGAGUGUAGAGGUGAAAUUCGUAGAUAUUCGCAAGAACACCAGUGGCGAAGGCGGCCAACUGGUCCGAUACUGACGCGUGAGGCGGCGAAAAGCGUGGGGAGCAAACACGG
rnacentral:rRNA from 1 species